UUUGGGAUAGCGAAGUCGGUAGAGCAUGGGACUCUUAAUCUCAGGGUUGUGGGUUCGAACCCCACAGUGGGCAAAA